UACAGAGGGUGCUAGCGUUGUUCGGAAUCAUUGGGCGUAAAGGGUGCGUAGGCGGUGUGGAAAGUCGGAUGUGAAAUACCUCAGCUUAACUGAGGAACUGCACUCGAUACUUCCAUGCUAGAGUAAGACAGAGGUGAGUGGAACUGAGGGUGGAGCGGUGAAAUGCGUUGAUAUCCUCAGGAACACCGGUGGCGAAGGCGACUCACUGGGUCUUUACUGACGCUGAUGCACGAAAGCUAGGGUAGCAAACGGG
rnacentral:rRNA from 1 species